GAUGAACGCUGGCGGCGUGCUUAACACAUGCAAGUCGAACGAGAAGUGAAGACGGAAACCUUCGGGCGGAAGGCUUUAUUUCGGGUGGCGGACGGGUGAGUAACGCGUGGGUAACCUGCCUCAUACAGGGGGAUAACAGUUGGAAACGACUGUUAAUACCGCAUAAGACCACAGCACCGCAUGGUGCGGGGGUAAAAACUCCGGUGGUAUGAGAUGGACCCGCGUUCGAUUAGCCAGUUGGCGGGGUAACGGCCCACCAAAGCGACGAUCGAUAGCCGAUCUGAGAGGAUGACCGGCCACAUUGGGACUGAGACACGGCCCAAACUCCUACGGGAGGCAGCAGUGGGGAAUAUUGCACAAUGGGGGAAACCCUGAUGCAGCGACGCCGCGUGAGUGAAGAAGUAUUUCGGUAUGUAAAGCUCUAUCAGCAGGGAAGAAAAUGACGGUACCUGAGUAAGAAGCCCCGGCUAACUACGUG
rnacentral:rRNA from 1 species